rnacentral:rRNA from 1 species
CGAGUAGAGUGGCGCACGGGUGAAUAAAGCGUGGGUAAUCUGCCUUCGAACCGGGGAUGCAGGUGGAAAGGGGUGCUAAUACCGGAUGACAUCCAGGUGUCUUCGGGCGCCUGGAUCAAAGAUGGCCUCUCCAUGGAAGCUGUUGUUCGAAGAUGAGCCCGCGUACCAUCAGCUUGUUGGUGGGGUAAAGGCCCACCAAGGCGACGAUGGGUAGCUGGUCUGAGAGGAUGAUCAGCCACACUGGCACUGACGCGCGGGCCAGACUCCUACGGGAGGCAGCAGUGAGGAAUAUAGCGCAAUGGGGGUGACCCUGACGCAGCAACGCCGCGUGAGUGACGAAGGCCUUCGGGUCGUAAAGCUCUGUCGAGUGGGAAGAACCCGCAUCAGGUGACAAGGCUGAUGCGCUGACGGUACCACUGGAGGAAGCACCGGCUAACUCCGUGCCAGCAGCCGCGGAAAUACGGAGGGUGCAAGCGUAAUUCGGAAUUACUGGGCGUAAAGGGCGCGCAGGCGGCCUGGUAAGUCAGUAGUGAAAGCCCGGGGUUCAACCCCGGAAGUGCUGCUAGAACUGUUGGGCUUGAGUAUGGUAGAGGGAAGCGGAAUUCCU